CAACUAGAUAGAUUCCAGACCUCAAUCAAAACACCAAAACACUCCAAAUUUAUGAGGGAUACGAAAGAUUUUCAGACUGGUAACAUAUAUCGAAAAUUCAAAAGAAAUAAGAAAGUAGAUUUUGAUUAAUGUUCUACUUCCAAAUAUGAUACCAGUGGUUCUAAGCCAGAAUUGAGCUCAGAAGGUCCAUCAACAUCUACUGAUUCCAACCCAAAGAGCAUCCUUAAGAAAGGGUUUAAUUUUUUAGAAAGACAAACAUAGGAGAGUCCAGCGAAAUACAAGGAGCAAAUCCACAACACGAGGUUACAAGCGGAGAAAAGCCUAUUAAUACAGGAAAGUCAGAUUAUAAAUCUGUCUUCCUAUCAACUUAAGCCAUUGGAAAACCAAGUGCUUAGAAGAGGGUUGUCCUUUGCCCCUACAC